rnacentral:misc_RNA from 1 species
GGGGUCUAGAAGUAUAUUAGCUCCUUUUAUGUCUCUGUGAACAGUGUUUUUAGCAUGCAAAUAAUUGAGCCCAGACAAGAUUUGUUGAGUAAAACUACGAAUGGCUAUUUCACCAAACUGUCCAUACUCCUGAAGAAGUUUAUAGAUGGAACCACCCGAAACAUACUCCAAGUAUAUAUACAAUUUAUCAUCCACCGUUUCAGAUCCAUAAUAUUGUACUAUAUUAGGAUGUCGUAAGCGACUUAGCAGUGCAAUUUCUUGUCCCAG